rnacentral:rRNA from 1 species
UACGUAGGGUGCGAGCGUUGUCCGGAAUUAUUGGGCGUAAAGGGCUCGUAGGCGGUUUGUCGCGUCGGGAGUGAAAAUCCAGGGCUUAACUCUGGACUGGCUUUCGAUACGGGCAGACUAGAGGUAUGCAGGGGAGAACGGAAUUCCUGGUGUAGCGGUGAAAUGCGCAGAUAUCAGGAGGAACACCGGUGGCGAAGGCGGUUCUCUGGGCAUUACCUGACGCUGAGGAGCGAAAGUGUGGGGAGCGAACAGGAUUAGAUACCCUGGUAGUCCACACCGUAAACGUUGGGCGCUAGGUGUGGGGCCUAUUCCAUGGGUUCCGUGCCGCAGCUAACGCAUUAAGCGCCCCGCCUGGGGAGUACGGCCGCAAGGCUAAA